rnacentral:rRNA from 1 species
UACAGAGGGGCCAGCGUUAUUCGGAAUUAUUGGGCGUAAAGGGCGCGUAGGCGGCCAUGCGUGUCUUCCGUGAAAUCCCUCGGCUCAACCGAGGACGUGCGGAAGAAACUGCAAGGCUCGGAGUCCGGGAAGAGGGGGGGCGGAAUUCCAGGUGUAGCGGUGAAAUGCGUAGAUAAUCUGGAGGAACACCGGUGGCGAAGGCGGCAUCCUGGACCGGCAUUGACGCU